rnacentral:lncRNA from 1 species
GUAGCCCCUCGGUCCCUGUAGUCCUGUAGCCCCUCAGCCUAGGCAGGCAGAGGCAAGAGGAUUGCUAGAGCCUGUGAGAUCAAGACUGCAGUGAGCUAUGCUUGCACCACUGCACUCCAGUCUGGGCAACAGAGCAAGACCCUGUCUCAAAAAUAAAUUAAAUAAAUAAAAAGAAAAACCCUGAUAUGAUAGUCUAAGUAGCUAUCGAUUGAGAGAAAUACGUGCCCAGAGUAUCACUUGGCUGGGUGCAGUAGCUCAUGCCGUAAUCCCAGCACUUUAGGAGGCCAAGGCGGGGGAUUGCUUGAGCCCAGGAGCUUGAGACCAGUCUGGGCAACAUAGCGAGAACCUAUCUCUAAAAAAAAAAUUAUUGGCUGGGCACGGUGGCUCACGCCUGUAAUCCCAGCACUUUGGGAGGCUGAGGCAGGUGGAUCACCUGAGGUCAGGAGUUGGAGACCAGCCUGGCUAACAUGGAGAAACCCCGUCUCUACUAAAACUACAAACAAAUUAGAUGGGCAUGGUGACAGGUGCCUACAGUCCCAGCUACUCGGGAGGCUGAGGCAGGUUAGUCACUUGAACCCCCAGAGGUGGAGGCUGCAGUAAGCCGAGAUCAUGCCACUGCACUCUAGCCUGGGCAACAAGAGUGAAACUCCAGUACUUUUUUUUUAAGUAUAGUUUAAAUUUAGACUUUAUUUUGAGACAGGAUCUCUCUGUGUCACUCAGGCUGGAGUGCAGUGGUGCAAUCACAGCUCACUAUAGCUUCAAACUCCUGUGCUCAAGUGAUCCUCCCACCUUAGAGCACCCCUUGCCCCAUCCCCACCCCCACCCUGAGUAGCUGGGACGACAGGAUGUGCCACCAUGUCCAGCUAAUUUUUUAUGUUUUUUUUUUUUGUAGAGACAGGGUCUCACUAUGUUGC